UACAGAGGUGGCAAGCGUUGUUCGGAAUUACUGGGCGUAAAGGGCGCGUAGGCGGCCUUCUAAGUCAGACGUGUAAUCCCCAGGCUUAACUUGGGAACUGCGUCUGAUACUGGAAGGCUUGAGUGCGGGAGAGGGAUGUGGAAUUCCAGGUGUAGCGGUGAAAUGCGUAGAUAUCGAGAGGAACACCUGCGGCGAAGGCGGGUUGCUGGGCUGACACGUGACGCUGAUGCGCGAAAGCUAGGGGAGCAAACGGG
rnacentral:rRNA from 1 species